CACGUAGGGUGCGAGCGUUGUCCGGAUUUACUGGGCGUAAAGAGCGCGCAGGCGGUCGUUCAAGUCGAGUGUGAAAGCCCCCGGCUCAACUGGGGAGGGUCACUCGAUACUGAUCGACUUGAAGGCAGGAGAGGGAAGCGGAAUUCCCGGUGUAGUGGUGAAAUGCGUAGAUAUCGGGAGGAACACCAGUGGCGAAGGCGGCUUCCUGGGCCGAUACUGACGCUGAGGAGCGAAAGCGUGGGGAGCGAACAGG
rnacentral:rRNA from 1 species